AAAUCAUUAUGAGUCAUUAAUUUGGUGAUUAUGAUAACAUAAGGGAAAAAAAAUGAUAUUACCUUAUUAUUAGUGUUGUCCAAAACUGGUGCCAGAAGACUCGGUAAGACCAGAGACGCAAACGUUAGUCAUCUUAAUCAGGCGUAAAGGGUGUGUAGGCUGCUUUAAAAGUUUAAAUCUUUUUAAUAGCUCUUUUGCCGUUGUCCUGCCAUUAUUUAUUUUAUUUAUAAAAUAAUAAACAAUAAUGAAUAUAAAGGCAGUACAUUUUUAAUUUUAUUAAUAUUAAUUUAAUUUAAUAAUUAUAAAGGGGACAAAAAAGAUAUCCCGGUUUAAGUAAAAAGAAUAAAAUGAAUUAAAGCUAGAAUCAAAUUGAGGAUAAACCAAAUAAUACUUAGAGUAGGGCCGAUAUCCGCAGAUACUAAGGGGAAUACUAAAGGUGAAAGCUUUUUAUCUACUAUUGAUUGACGCUGAGAAACGAAGGUGAGAACAGGAAAUAGGAUUUGAUACCCAGAUACCUCUCACUGUCAACGAUGAAUGGUGGUUGUUAGUUUUAAUAAAAACUGGUAACGAUGUUAACACGAUAACCAUUCCGCCUUGCGAGUACGGUUGCAAAACUGAAACCAAAAAAAUUAGUCGGUUUCGAAGCAAACGAAGUGAGCAUGUUAUUUAAUACGAGAGUACUUGCAUAUCCAGUUUGUUUCUAAUGAGACAGAUUGAGUAAUUUUUAUAUUUUUAAAAAUUCGUUUACA
rnacentral:rRNA from 1 species